AUUGAACGCUGGCGGCAUGCCUUACACAUGCAAGUCGAACGGCAGCACGGACUUCGGUCUGGUGGCGAGUGGCGAACGGGUGAGUAAUGUAUCGGAACGUACCUUUCAGUGGGGGAUAACGUAGCGAAAGUUACGCUAAUACCGCAUAUUCUGUGAGCAGGAAAGCAGGGGAUCGCAAGACCUUGCGCUGAUUGAGCGGCCGAUAUCAGAUUAGCUAGUUGGUGGGGUAAAGGCCUACCAAGGCUACGAUCUGUAGCGGGUCUGAGAGGAUGAUCCGCCACACUGGAACUGAGACACGGUCCAGACUCCUACGGGAGGCAGCAGUGGGGAAUUUUGGACAAUGGGGGCGAACCCUGAUCCAGCCAUGCCGCGUGAGUGAAG
rnacentral:rRNA from 1 species